rnacentral:rRNA from 1 species
AACGAACGCUGGCGGCAUGCCUAACACAUGCAAGUCGAACGAGACCUUCGGGUCUAGUGGCGCACGGGUGCGUAACGCGUGGGAACCUGCCCUUAGGUUCGGAAUAACUCCCCGAAAGGGGUGCUAAUACCGGAUAAUGUCUUCGGACCAAAGAUUUAUCGCCUUUGGAUGGGCCCGCGUUGGAUUAGCUGGUUGGUAGGGUAAAAGCCUACCAAGGCGACGAUCCAUAGCUGGUCUGAGAGGCUGAUCAGCCACACUGGGACUGAGACACGGCCCAGACUCCUACGGGAGGCAGCAGUGGGGAAUAUUGGAAAAUGGGCGAAAGCCUGAUCCAGCAAUGCCGCGUGAGUGAUGAAGGCCUUAGGGUUGUAAAGCUCUUUUACCCGGGAUGAUAAUGACAGUACCGGGAGAAUAAGCUCCGGCUAACUCCGUG